rnacentral:rRNA from 1 species
GAUGAACGCUGGCGGCGUGCCUAAUACAUGCAAGUCGAGCGAACAGACGAGGAGCUUGCUCCUCUGACGUUAGCGGCGGACGGGUGAGUAACACGUGGAUAACCUACCUAUAAGACUGGGAUAACUUCGGGAAACCGGAGCUAAUACCGGAUAAUAUAUUGAACCGCAUGGUUCAAUAGUGAAAGACGGUUUUGCUGUCACUUAUAGAUGGAUCCGCGCCGCAUUAGCUAGUUGGUAAGGUAACGGCUUACCAAGGCAACGAUGCGUAGCCGACCUGAGAGGUUGAUCGGCCACACUGGACCUGAGACACGGUCCAGACUCCUACGGGAGGCAGCAGUAGGGAAUCUUCCGCAAUGGGCGAAAGCCUGACGGAGCAACGCCGCGUGAGUGAUGAAGGUCUGCGGAUCGUAAAACUCUGUUAUUAGGGAAGAACAAAUGUGUAAGUAACUAUGCACGUCUGGACGGUACCUAAUCAGAAAGCCACGGCUAACUACGU